rnacentral:rRNA from 2 species
AGCUCGUGUCGUGAGAUGUUGGUUAAGUCCCGCACGAGCGCAACCCUUGUCUUUAGUUGCCAUCAUUCAGUUGGGCACUCUAGAGAGACUGCCGAGGACAACUCGGAGGAAGGUGGGGAUGACGUCAAAUCAUCAUGCCCCUUAUGUCCUGGGCUACACACGUGCUACAAUGGCUGGUACAAAGAGACGCAAGACCGCGAGGUGGAGCAAAUCUCAAAAACCAGUCCCAGUUCGGAUUGCAGGCUGCAACUCGCCUGCAUGAAGUCGGAGUUGCUAGUAAUCGCAGAUCAGAAUGCUGCGGUGAAUGCGUUCCCGGGUCUU